GAUGAACGCUGGCGGCGUGCUUAACACAUGCAAGUCGAACGAUGAAGCCCAGCUUGCUGGGUGGAUUAGUGGCGAACGGGUGAGUAACACGUGAGUAACCUGCCCUUAACUCUGGGAUAAGCCUGGGAAACUGGGUCUAAUACCGGAUAGGAGCGCCUACCGCAUGGUGGGUGUUGGAAAGAUUUAUCGGUUUUGGAUGGACUCGCGGCCUAUCAGCUUGUUGGUGAGGUAAUGGCUCACCAAGGCGACGACGGGUAGCCGGCCUGAGAGGGUGACCGGCCACACUGGGACUGAGACACGGCCCAGACUACUACGGGCGGCCGCCGUGGGGGCUCUUGCCCGCUGGGCGCAAGCCUGAUGCAGCGACGCCGCGUGAGGGAUGACGGCCUUCGGGUUGUAAACCUCUUUCAGUAGGGAAGACGCGAAAGUGCCGGUCCCUGCCGCAGAAGCCCCGGCUCCCUCCGUG
rnacentral:rRNA from 1 species